UACGAAGGGGGCUAGCGUUGCUCGGAAUCACUGGGCGUAAAGCGCACGUAGGCGGCUUACUAAGUCAGGGGUGAAAUCCUGGAGCUCAACUCCAGAACUGCCUUGAUACUGGUGAGCUUGAGUCCGGAAGAGGUGAGUGGAACUGCGAGUGUAGAGGUGAAAUUCGUAGAUAUUCGCAAGAACACCAGUGGCGAAGGCGGCUCACUGGUCCGGUACUGACGCUGAGGUGCGAAAGCGUGGGGAGCAACAGG
rnacentral:rRNA from 1 species